AUUGAACGCUGGCGGCAUGCCUUACACAUGCAAGUCGAACGGUAACAGGUUAAGCUGUCGCGUUUCCAACGGGCGAGUGAUGUAUCGGUACGUGCUACGUCGUGGUGUAUAACUGCGCGAAGGAGCAGCUAAUACCGCAUACGACCUUAGCGCGAAAGCGCUGGAUCGCAAAGCCUCGCACGUUUGGACCUUCCGAUAUCAGAUUAGGUAGUUGGUGAGGUAAAGGCUCACCAAGGCGACGAUCCGUAGCUGGUCUGAGAGGAUGACCAGCCACACUGGGACUGAGACACGGCCCAGACUCCUACGGGAGGCAGCAGUGGGGAAUUUUGGACAAUGGGCGCAAGCCUGAUCCAGCCAUGCCGCGUGCGGGAAGAAGGCCUUCGGGUUGUAAAGCCCUUUUGUCAGGGAAGAAAAGGUUCUGGCUAAUACCUGGGAGUCCUGACGGUACCUGAAGAAUAAGCACCGGCUAACUACGUG
rnacentral:rRNA from 1 species